UUGUCUUUUUGGAAGUAGGAAUGAGUGUU
rnacentral:piRNA from 1 species